AAAGUACUCCCUCCGUCCCAAAAUUCUUGUCUUAGAUUUGUCUAGAUACGGAUGUAUCAAGUCACAUUUUAGUAUUAGAUACAUCCGUAUCUAGACAAAUCUAAGACAAGCAAUUUGGGAUAGACGAAGUAGUUG
rfam:Triticum aestivum genome assembly, contig: Triticum_aestivum_CS42_TGACv1_scaffold_094970_2AL